rnacentral:rRNA from 1 species
CCUACGGGAGGCAGCAGUGAGGAAUAUUGGUCAAUGGACGAGAGUCUGAACCAGCCAAGUAGCGUGAAGGAUGACUGCCCUAUGGGUUGUAAACUUCUUUUAUAUGGGAAUAAAAUGUUCCACGUGUGGGCUUUUGUAUGUACCCUAUGAAUAAGGAUCGGCUAACUCCGUGCCAGCAGCCGCGGUAAUACGGAGGAUCCGAGCGUUAUCCGGAUUUAUUGGGUUUAAAGGGUGCGUAGGCGGAGUGUUAAGUCAGUUGUGAAAGUUUGGGGCUCAACCGUAAAAUUGCAGUUGAAACUGGCAGUCUUGAGUACAGGAGAGGUGGGCGGAAUGCGUGGUGUAGCGGUGAAAUGCUUAGAUAUCACGAAGAACUCCGAUUGCGAAGGCAGCUCACUGGACUGCAACUGACACUGAGGCUCGAAAGUGUGGGUAUCAAACAGGAUUAGAUACCCUGGUAGUC